UUUGCUGCCCAGGCUGUAGUGCAGUGGUGUGAUCUCAGCUCACUGCAAGCUCUGCCUCCCAGGUUCACACCAUUCUCCUGCCUCAGCUUCCUGAGGAGCUGGGACUACAGGUGCACGCCACCACACCCAGCUAAUUUCUUGAAUUUUUAGUAGAGACGGGGUUUCACCGUGUUAUCCAGGAUGGUCUUGAUCUCCUGACCUCCUGAUCCUCCCACCUUGGCCUCCCAAAGUGCUGGGAUUACAGGCUUGAGCCACUGCGCCCGGCUCAUUCAUCUUCCUUAUUUCCCUCAACCUGCUGUCUCUCUUUUUCUGUCAUUCCCUUCUGCUUUUUCCCAGUCCAGGUUUGAAUACCCGCCUCCAAGUGAUAGGAAAGAACAGCCAAGUUUGAAUGCACACUGAUGUUUCAGGACCAUGGACAGUAGCAUCGGUUGCCCAGGAAAGUACAAAUGGUAUGAAGAAGCACUGACAAAACGAUUUUCAGGUAAUCUCCAGCUUCAAUGCAA
rnacentral:lncRNA from 10 species